rnacentral:tRNA from 1 species
GCCGAGGUGGCCUAGCCUAGUCAUGGCACCAGACUCAUAAUCUGGGGGUCGGGGGCGCGAAUCCCCCCCUCGGCACCA